rnacentral:rRNA from 1 species
AAUCAACGCUGGCGGCGUGCCUAACACAUGCAAGUCGAGCGAGAAAGGGGAGCCAAUCCCUGAGUAAAGCGGCAGACGGGUGAGUAACACGUGAACAACCUACCCUUGAGUGGGAAUAACACCGCGAAAGCGGUGCUAAUACCGCAUAACAUCCUUGGGUCGCAUGGCCCGAGGAUCAAAAGCGAAAGUUGCUCGAGGAGGGUUCNCGGCUGAUUAGCUAGUUGGUGAGGAACGGCCCACCAAGGCUUCGAUCAGUAGCCGGCCUGAGAGGGCGAACGGCCGACACUGGAACUGGGACACGGUCCAGACUCCUACGGGAGGCAGCAGUGGGGAAUUUUGCGCAAUGGGCGAAAGCCUGACGCAGCCACGCCGCGUGAGUGACG